AAAAAGGAGGAUGCUCUGGAACGCUGCAUAACUCCAGGGAAUUUGUCUGCUCUGGGGAAAAAAAAAGGCUGAAAAUAGGACAUUGAAUAGGAUAUGACUGAUGAAAUGUUGAAGAUUUUCUUAAAUUCCACUUGAAGGAAUUUGCAAAAUCCUCAGUCUGUGAUUUUAAACAAUGCAUUCAAGUAGGAUGGACACACGCCUUUCAGGUCUGAAACCACCUGUCAGCCUGAGAAUGGAAUAAAUCACCUUGCACCAUACCAUACCUUUCCCAAUGCGGAUCACAUGGCCAACAAGAGGGAGCAUAAGGUGACACCAGUCUUCACGUCAAGUUAGUUAUGGUGCCAGGCUCCCCACUGAGCAGGGAGCCAGACCAUAUGGGGCUCCAUCGCAGGACCCUGGGAUCUUGACCUGAGCCAAAGGGAGACACUUAACUGACCUAGCCACCCAGGCACCCCCCAGAGAAUUUUUGCUUUCUCAAAGAAAAGCCAUAAUCCUACUAACAGUCUUUCGUGAAAGCAAAGUAGCAUAAAACAAAGUUUCAGGAGGUGGGAUACUCUUCUAUGUCCUUUAAGCUUAUGAAAAGUUUCACAGAACACUCUACUCUCAGAUAGCAGGAGGAACCUGUAUCUAUGAGAAAAGAGCUGAGGAAACGAAGGCAUCGGUUGUGCGGUUCUCCAGUGGAAAGAACAUCUCAGGCACAGGAAACAGCAGUUAAAGUGGCCUGAGAGGGAAGCUGCCUUGCAAGUUUAAAGAGACUGCAGAGACCAGGGUAGAGCAGGGGUGAAGUGAGUAAGGGAGUGAAUACAGGUGACAGGUCAGAAGGGCAAUGGGGGGGCAACAAUCUGGGCAGGGCAUGGCAGACCAUUUUAAGAACGUGUCUUUUGGCCUGAGUGAGAUGGGAAUCCAAUAAAUGGCUUUGAGCAGAGGAGUGAGAUAAUGGAUGGGCUUUAACAAAUCAUUGUGGCAGUGUGCUAGCAGUAAGCUGGAGAUAAACCAAAGGGUGAAAACAUGGAGACCAAUUAGGAGGCUGCUGAAGUAAUCUCUCAGGAGACAAUGGGGAUUUGAACCAGGAUGGUGGCAUGGAGGUGGUGAGCGGUGGUUGGCAUGGUUGUAUUUUUUUAAAAAAUAUGUUUUAUUGGGCUGUAAAUGGACAUUCUCUGGUUUUAUUCUAUUAAAAAAAAUAUUCUCAGUAAACUCUAUGCCCAGUGUGAGCCUUGA